rnacentral:rRNA from 1 species
GACGUAGGGCGCGAGCGUUGUCCGGAUUUAUUGGGCGUAAAGGGCUCGUAGGCGGUUUGUCGCGUCGGGUGUGAAAAUCCAGGGCUUAACUCUGGACUGGCUUCCGAUACGGGCAGACUAGAGGUAUGCAGGGGAGAACGGAAUUCCUGGUGUAGCGGUGAAAUGCGCAGAUAUCAGGAGGAACACCGGUGGCGAAGGCGGUUCUCUGGGCAGUACCUGACGCUGAGGAGCGAAAGUGUGGGGAGCGAACAGG